rnacentral:rRNA from 1 species
UACGAAGGGGGCUAGCGUUGCUCGGAAUCACUGGGCGUAAAGCGCACGUAGGCGGCUUUUUAAGUCAGGGGUGAAAUCCUGGAGCUCAACUCCAGAACUGCCUUUGAUACUGAGAAGCUUGAGUCCGGGAGAGGUGAGUGGAACUGCGAGUGUAGAGGUGAAAUUCGUAGAUAUUCGAAAGAACACCAGUGGCGAAGGCGGCGGACUGGCCCGGUACUGACGCUGAGGUGCGAAAGCGUGGGGAGCAAACAGG